AGUGAACGCUGGCGGUAGGCCUAACACAUGCAAGUCGAACGGCAGCACAGUAAGAGCUUGCUCUUACGGGUGGCGAGUGGCGGACGGGUGAGGAAUACAUCGGAAUCUACUUUUUCGUGGGGGAUAACGUAGGGAAACUUACGCUAAUACCGCAUACGACCUACGGGUGAAAGCAGGGGAUCUUCGGACCUUGCGCGAUUGAAUGAGCCGAUGUCGGAUUAGCUAGUUGGCGGGGUAAAGGCCCACCAAGGCGACGAUCCGUAGCUGGUCUGAGAGGAUGAUCAGCCACACUGGAACUGAGACAAGGUCCAGACUCCAACGGGAGGAAGCAGUGGGGAAUAUUGGACAAUGGGCGCAAGCCUGAUCCAGCCAUACCGCGUGGGUGAAGAAGGCCUUCGGGUUGUAAAGCCCUUUUGUUGGGAAAGAAAAGCAGCAGGUUAAUACCCCGCUGUUCUGACGGUACCCAAAGAAUAAGCACCGGCUAACUUCGUG
rnacentral:rRNA from 1 species